CGCUCCGAGUGUUUAUAGCGUUCAGACUCACACACUUUAUAACACACUGCUGUUUACCACGGUACACAACCAGCAAACACAAUGAAUCUCUUCAGCAGCUUCAUCUGGAUUCUGGCAGCUUUUCUUCCAGCAGCAUCCAGAGGAAUCACUGUGACUCAGCCUAAAGUUCUGACUGUUUCUGAAGGACAAGACGUCACUAUAGAGUGUAAAACUGAUCCUGGUAUAUAUGGAUGGGGCUUAUACUGGUAUCAGCAGAAGACUGGAGAAACUCCUAAACUCAUGAUUACUGGAGUAAACGAUCGCUAUGGUAACAGUUUCAGUCGAUUCAGUGGGAAUGGAGCACGAGGUGGAACUGAUUUCACUCUGAGCAUCAGUGGAGUCCAGACUGAAGAUGCUGGACAUUAUUACUGUAUGAGUCGACACAGUGGUCCAGUGUUCACACAGUGA